rnacentral:lncRNA from 1 species
GAACAACCACGCCUCAUAAGAGCAAGUAUAAUAGAUCUGACACAUGUAGCUAUAAACCAUUCCACAUCAGCCAAAUCACAGCUGGAGGGGAGAGAGAGGGGAACAGGCGCUUUGUCAAUCGCCCCACCGCAGCACACCACACAAGGAUUUUACGCCCCUUGCAGCCCACAGCGAGCGAUAGAGUCGGUGCUCUCGAUCCACUCUUGAUCCCCUACAUCUCUCGCCUCCCACGCCCUUCUCCUUCCUCCUUAGUGCACAAAAUCCGUGCUUCCCCCGCCACAAAUCGCUUCCUGCGGUUUCAAAAGGAUUUACCAUUUAUACGAUUCUCUGAGAACUGAUAUGUUAUAUUCUUCAGAAAGUCUAAUGCAGAUCCUUCGGCAGUGUGCUCAGAACAUUGAGCAUGUUUUCUUCAUCUCUACCUCUACCAGCACUAGUAGACAUUUCUGGUGAUUUAAGAUGCUUAGCUAUGAGUUCUCAUUUACAAGAGCAAAGAUAGGUUUCUACAAGCUAUGGGCUGCCACAAAUUCUCAUAUAACAGAGCAAAGAUUUUUAUUUUUGCGAGAGAGCAAAGACAAAUUAACAAAUAAUACUUAACUUGUUAUCUUUGACUAGAACUAAAUAAUAGAAAAAUGAAAUCACGUGCUUACAUAGAUCAAUGCUCCCCUGUCAGUCUUUUUGCAUUUCAUCAAACACCUUAUAGGCACAGAGAACAGAACCUGCACAAACAAAGCUGAGAAGCUUUGGAUUGGAAGAGGGGGUGGGG